GUUCCUUGUGUUUAUCAUCACUUUUACAAAUAGUUUUCCUUCCCUUUUAGAUCUAUAUACUGGCUUAUUUCGGUUAUUGCUUUACAAUUGUGAUUUCCUCCAUCCUAUAUCUUAUUUCUUUUUUAUUUAGAGGACCCCUUUCAGUAUUUGUUUUAGAAUGGGUUUAGUAUUUCUGUACUCUUUUAGUUUUUGUUAGAGAAAUUCUUUAUUUCUCCUUCUAUUUUAAAUGAUGUUAUUGUUGGGUAGAGUAUUCUAGGCUUCAGAUUUUUCCCUCAUAGAACUUUGAAUGUAUCUUUCCUCUCCCUUCUGGCCCAUAGUGUUUCUGUAGGGAAAUCAGCUGAUAGCCUUAAGGGGGUUCUCUUAUAAUUAACUCUUUGCUUUUCUCUUUCUGCCUUUAGAAUCCUCUCUUUAACUCUUGCCAUUUUAUUAUAAUAUGUCUUGGAUUGGGCCAGUUUGGGUUGAACUUGUUUGGGGCCCUCUGUGCUUCCUAUAUCUUGAUAUCUGUUUCAGCCAUAAUUGGAAAGUUUUCAGCCAUAAUUUAUUCAAAUAUAUGUUCAAUCCCCUUUUUUCUUUUCUGGAAUCCCUAUUAUGCUUAGAUUGUCCUGCUUCUUAUUAUCCCAUAGAUCUCUUAUGUUGCUUUUGUGUUUUUUUCUAGUGUUUUCUGUCUGCUAUCCUGAUUGGAUGAUUUCCAUUAUUAUGUCUCCACUUAUUUGUUCUUCUGCCUUAUUCAUUCUGCUCUUCAAUGCCUUUAACUCAGCUUGCAUCUCUGCAAAUGAAUUUUCUACUUUUUCUUGGCUCCUCAUACGUUCUAGUUCCUUUCUAAAGUAAUCUGUAUUAUAGUUCAUAUCUGCUCUUAAUUCCUUCAUUUUGCUCUUAAUUUCUUCACUAUUUUCACUGUUUUCUUUUUGAGAUCAGUGUCUGGAAGACUACAGAGUUCUGUUUCAUUUUUUGCUCCUUCAGAUAUGAGUUCUGUUCUUUCAGCUGGGAAUGGUUCCUGAGCUUCUUCAUUUUGCUUAUAUUUUUCUUAUUCUGUGAGUUUAGGAAAACUACUGUAGUCUUUGGAGGCUACUUAUAUGCAAGAGUGCCCCCGGGUAUUUUGUGAGGGCUUACUAUUUAUAUUUAGGGUGCUGUACCUGUUUCCAGGGAUAUAGAGGCAAUGGGCAGGGCAAUAGCCAUUGCCUGGUUGCUGGGCAUUCACAGUGGCAAAGGACCUGUGAGAAGGUGGCACAGGCUGCACCUAGUUGCAGGGCCCUGAGAAGUGACAGUGAUCUUCAGGCAGGUAUGGGCAGUGCCUGGAGAGUUUAGCAAUGGCAGCAUUGGAGUGGGUGCAUUCUCAGAGGAAUAAGAGCAACAACGGGUGGUGCUCAGUUGCAGUGCCCUCCUCUUUGCCAGCCUCUGAGAUGACUGGGGCCGCAGGUGGUCCCUGCUCAUGGAUCUCUAGUGGGGGUGGACCACCCCCAUCUCUGGUGUCUGAGAUGACUGCGCUGGUUUUCCCCUGAUGCUUGUAGACCACACAAAAGAUGCUCAUCACUUUUAGACCCCCCACUGACCUUAACCUGAACAAGAGGUGCCCAGCCCUCCAUAGCCCUCACAAAAGGUGCCUCACCACCCAUAGCCUGUGCCAGAGGUGCCCUGCCCUCUGAGAGUCCACGUGUGUACAAGGAAAGAUAGUCCUAUGGCAGUCCACCCCACCUCCUCUUGCCCUCCCCAACAGUGGUGACUUGCUUCUCUGCAGGCCCAGACCUCCUCCCUGGUUCCCUUGGCUGUGUCACACUGCUCCCUAGCCCCUCAGGCUGUCUCCACACAGCCAACCCUAGUCCUUUCUCCAGAACUGACCUCUGGAGCCUGAGUCUCAGCGCCCAGCCCCCACUCAGCAUCUCAGACUGUGGUGCAGAUGGUCUGUACGGCUCUCACUCUGCCCUGCCUUCUUUAGUCCAGCUGCAGUGCUUUUCUCCAUGACUUUGAGGUCCCUCCCAUCUCAGCUCAUCUCCUCAUUGGUUAGGUGGCUUCCCUAGGGUGUGGGUUUUCUUCCUCUUUAACAGCUCUCUCUCAGGAGUGCUAGUCCUAUCCUUAUUCCAUUCUCUCUUGUUUCCCCACUUUUGUUCUACCCAGUUAUGUGGAGGGGUUCUUGCCCUUUUUGGAGAUUUAAAGUCUUCCGCCAGCAUUCAGUAGAUGUGUUCUGUUUGAAUUGUUCUACAUGUAAAUGGGGUUUUUUGAUGUGAUUGUGCAAGAAGGUCAGUGCCACAUCUUACUCCUGCCAUCUUGAUCCUUCUUCCUCCUUGUUAAAACCUUUGAUUCUCUCUUCAUUCUUGUGACCCGCUUAUCCACAGAUCACAUUUCUAUAGGCCCUAUAAUUGCUUUGCCGCACAAAGUAAACACCAGGAUACUUCAUACAUACACAUCAGCAUUUCAGUGCUUGUCAGAAUUCAUAAAAUAUAGGGCUACAACCUAUAGUUGGAUAUUAAGAUGCAAAUCUGUUGUGCUCAUUUGAUGUAUGAAAAUGAGAAACCCUCGUACAGAGGAAGGAUUUCCCAGACUCUCUGUCACCUUGUUUUUAUCUCCAGGGUUUUUCAGUUUUGUUUUUGGCCAUAUCUUCAGCACAUGGAAGUUCCCAGACCAGAGUUCAAAGUGAGCUGCAGCUGCAGCCUACACCGUAUCUGCAGCAAUGCAAGAUCUUUAACCCAUUGUACUGAGCCAGGGAUUAAGCUUGCACUGCUACAGAAACAAUGC
rnacentral:lncRNA from 1 species